UACAAACGUCUGGCACGUUCUCAUUACUUCCGGGUGAACGGGAUGUUGUGACUAGCUGCAGGCUAAUGUGUUUAUUAAAUUUCAGGUUAUGUUUGUAAAAAGUCAAUGAAGACAAAUGUCUGCCCCUUCUGAACCGGGAGUAUCAAAAGCAAAGGAUUUGAAUCCAGCGACGCUUUCGACGGGUAAAGCUGUGACCGCGGCGGCGUUAGUUGCUCAGGCCCGGAGUAAGAAACGUGUUAGUCCCGCGACCCCCACAACCGCGCAGCCAAAUAAUAACAGUGCUAAAAAGAAAAAAACACAGCCUGCAUCGUCAACUACUCAAGCUCAGGUUGCUCCUUUGGAGUCCACUACUGAGGGAAAACCUGUGGGAGCUGUUGAUGUAGAAACUUCUGCCAAAUGUCUUCCUUUUAAGAACCCCAACUUUGUGCACUCAGGUAUUGGUGGAGCAGCAGCAGGGAAGAAGAAUCGGACGUGGAAGAAUCUGAAGCAGAUUCUAGCAGCGGAGAAAGCACUGCCCUGGAAAAUCACUGAUCCUAACUACUGCAGUAUAGAUGCACCUCCCUCUAUGAAACCUGCUAAAAAGUACUCAGACAUCUCAGGUCUUCUGGCAAACUAUACUGACCCUCAGACUAAACUGCACUUUGCAUCGACGGAAGAGUUUUCUUACAUCCGUCAGUUGCCAACAGAUGUGGUGACUGGAUACCUGACUCUACGUAAAGCCACCUGCAUUGUGCCCUAAUGGAGUACUCUUCCCCCAAACAAACAUGUACUUGCUGACUGAACACUGAAUGCUACAGGAUGUAAAGGACAAACAUACUUUUUAUUUUGCUCUCAUCUACCAGCAUCAUGAGGUAUUUACAGUGAUGCAUUGAAGGAAGAACCAACAAACCCGAAAUUUCUCACACAUUCUUCUAAGAAAGCCUCAACUUUUUUUGAGUUACUCAUUGAAGCUACAUUAAGAAAGCACUGUAAACUAAACACCUGUAAACAAUUAUAUGCUAACUCGAUAAAUAGAACAACAGUCUUGCCACUGUCUUAUAUGGAGCCCAAUUGACUUCAUUUGUUCGUGCUUAGAACUGUAGAAUGAGACUGAAAAACCAUCACAGGCAAAAGUGACAAAAGGUAUGUAGUGUCCUGAAGAUGAGGACAGAGCUGAAGACAGACUUGUUAAAAGGAAGACUCUGGAGAUGUUAUUAACAUACAACAAUCAGUAUUUUUACUGAGUGAAAGAUUUCAGAUAGCUGAAAAAUUUUAUUCCUUUAUGAGUUCAUUCCGUUCAAGGCAGAUGUAAUGUUACUAGCGUGGCAUGUGCAAAACUGUUUUUUCUGUUGUUAUAACUACUGUAGCUGGUAAUAUCUUCAGAGGGACAGAUCCAUCAAAAGUAUAAAACAACGGAAAGA